CCAGUAGUUCAGUUGGUAGAGGAUGAGACUCUUAAUCUUAGAAUUGUGAGUUCAAGCCCCACUUUGGGGG